ACCAGGGAAGGGGCAGAGCAAGUGCUGGGGAAGGGCAGUCGUGUCUGUGGGGGCUGAGCUGCCAGCCAUGAGGCAUCUCCUCAGUUGUCACAGGCAUGGUGGCAUCACACACCUUCACCCUAGCUGCAAGCCUGGCCCCAGCACUGACAGGCUACAAAUCCUGGAGUUUUUUGAGCAGAAAAGGUUUGGAGACACAAGUGCUGCUCCUUCCCUCGUGCUCGUGGCAUCCGAGCAACUUUCUGCAGGACACAAGGAGACAGUGAUGGGGCCGUGUUAGGAGCUGCAAGGAAAUGUGGCUGUACCUUCUGCCCUACGGAUUUUCUCCUACUGCAUUUGACAAGCCCUGGCAGUGCUCCCCACCUCACUCUACCUACCCCAAACCAGCUAAGACUGACACAAGAAGAGUCCCUUGUGUCCCUGCAGAGACCCUUUGGAUGAAUCCACAGUCUUUGGGGACAAUGUGGAGCUGCAGCGGAUGCAAAGUCCUUGUCUCAGAGAG
rnacentral:lncRNA from 12 species